GGGGGUGUAGCUCAGUUGGGAGAGCACCUGCCUUGCACGCAGGGGUCAAGAGUUCGAAUCUCUUCAUCUCCACCA
rnacentral:tRNA from 2 species